rnacentral:tRNA from 1 species
GUGGGUAUAGCUCAGUGGCAGAGCACAUGCUUAGCAUGCACAAAGUCCUGGGUUCAUUCCCCAGUACCUCCA